rnacentral:tRNA from 1 species
GAGGUCGAUGGGGUAGAGACUCUUCCUUCCUUCGCACGGUGGUGGUCAGGGUUCGAAUCCCCUGACCACCC